rnacentral:rRNA from 1 species
GCGCGAAAACUUUACAAUGCGGGAAACCGCGAUAAGGGGACACUGAGUGCCAGCACCAUGUGUUGGCUGUCCGCAUGUAUAAAUCACAUGUGUUAGCAAGGGCCGGGCAAGACCGGUGCCAGCCGCCGCGGUAACACCGGCGGCCCGAGUGGUGGCCAUUAUUAUUGGGUCUAAAGGGUCCGUAGCCGGUUUGAUCAGUCUUCCGGGAAAUCUGACAGCUCAACUGUUAGGCUUCUGGGGGAUACUGUCAGACUUGGAACCGGGAGAGGUAAGAGGUACUACAGGGGUAGGAGUGAAAUCUUGUAAUCCUUGUGGGACCACCAGUGGCGAAGGCGUCUUACCAGAACGGGUUCGACGGUGAGGGACGAAAGCUGGGGGCACGAACCGGAUUAGAUACCCGGGUAGUCCCAGCCGUAAACGAUGCUCGCUAGGUGUCUGGGAUGGUGCGACCGUUUCAGGUGCCGCAGGGAAGCCGUGAAGCGAGCCACCUGGGAAGUACGGCCGCAAGGCUGAAACUUAAAGGAAUUGGCGGGGGAGCGACUAACG